rnacentral:tRNA from 1 species
GCCUUCUUGGUGUAGUGGUCAGCCCACUCGAUGCAUAACCGAGUGGUCCGCGGUUCGAUUCCUGGCGAAGGCG